rnacentral:rRNA from 1 species
UACGUAGGGUGCAAGCGUUGUCCGGAAUUAUUGGGCGUAAAGAGCUCGUAGGCGGUUUGUCGCGUCGGCUGUGAAAGCCCGGAGCUCAACUCCGGGUCUGCAGUCGAUACGGGCAGACUUGAGUGUUGCAGGGGAGACUGGAAUUCCUGGUGUAGCGGUGAAAUGCGCAGAUAUCAGGAGGAACACCGGUGGCGAAGGCGGGUCUCUGGGCCGAAACUGACGCUGAGGAGCGAAAGCGUGGGGAGCGAACAGG